rnacentral:rRNA from 1 species
AGCCGCCGCGGUAAUACUCGAGCCCCAAGUGGUAUCCACGAUUAGUGGGUCUAAAGCGUCCGUAGCCGGUUCGGUAAGUCUUCAGUGAAAUUCUUCGGCAAACUGAAGAGCUUGCUGGAGAUACUGCCGGGCUUGGGACUGGGAGAGGGUAGAGGUACUCCCAGGGGAGGGGUAAAAUCCUAUAAUCCUGGGGGGACCACCUGUGGCGAAGGCUUCUACCUAGAACAGGUCCGACGGUGAGGGACGAAACCUAGGGGAGCGAUCGGGAUUAGAUAUUAUUUCAGGAAUGAAAAAAAAUGCAAAACGCAUUAGUUCAGUUAUUAAAAAAGUUCCUGAAUAACUAAAAACCCCGGUAGUCCUAGGCGUAAACGAUGCCCGUUUGGUGUUGCAGACCUUUCGAGGGUUUGCAGUGCCGGAGCGUAGGUGUUAAGCGGGCCACCUGGGGAGUACGGCCGCAAGGCUGAAACUUAAGGGAAUUGGCGGGGGAGCACACAAGGGGUGGAGGCUGCGGUUUAAUUGGAUCCAACGCCGGAAAUCUCACGGGAAUCGACAGCAGGAUGAAGGUCAGUCUAAAGGGCUUACCAAACAAGCUGAGAGGAGGUGCAUGGCCAUCGUCAGCUCGUACCGUGAGGCGUGCGGUUAAGUCCGUUAACGAGCGAGACCCGCAUCCUAUGUUGCUAUCUUGCGAAAGAGCACUCAUAGGAGACCGCUGGUGAUAAACCAGAGGAAGGCGCGGGCGACGGUAGGUCCGUAUGCCCCGAAUUUUCCCGGCUACACGCGGCCUACAAUGCAUGAGACAAUGGGAUGCGACUCCGAGAGGAGAAGCCAAACCCUUAAACUCAUGCUCAGUUCGGAUCGAGGGUUGUAACUCACCCUCGUGAAGCUGGAAUCCCUAGUA